CAUUGAUGGGAGAGACACCCCAUGGCUCAGAUUUAUGAAAAUAUGCAUCAGAUUUGAAAUCGCUUACCUGAAAUGAGUAUACCAUUAUAUCAGAGCUGUAAGUGAGAAACAUGUUAUUUUUCUUCUUUUACCAGUGAAACAAGUUUUUGUUUUUUUUUUCAGACAUAUCCUUGUAAUUUCUUUUUUUUGCAGUUCUUUCAAGUCAUUCUCUGGAAAAUUUCCUGAAAUUGCCAAGAAUCUGCCACUUUCAAUAAUAUCGACUCUGAAAGAGAGAGAGAGAGGCUAGGAGAGACCGUGGGGGACAGAAGUGUUGAUUGCUGCCCAUGGCCAUGCUGGUUUAUGAAGUGAGAUGGUCGGAAGCAGGACAGAAAUUGAAUAUACCAAUCAGGAAGGAGGAGCUAUUUAAUAGUAGCAACUUUGGAACACUGAAACUAACAGAAUGUCCUCAAGGAAGUUCAACUCAAUUGCCUUCCUCUGAAAAAGACGCUGAACUACGUGAUUGUUCGAUGGUCCUGGAAAGAAAUAUCUGUUUCAUUUGAAGUUUCCAUUUUACCUUUGAAACCUAGGUUUGAUGGUGUGAGAAAUGCUUGCCUUCCUUUCUUUCUCCCUGGUUGAGUUACAGAGAAUCAUUAGGUACUCAUUAGACUAAUGUGAAGGCAGAUAACACCGGUUAUGGAGCCCAUGACUCAUUUUUAAAUUUUACCAGUUCUCUUUCACUUACUGCCUAAAUUGCAGGCUUUCUUGUGACAGGUAGCUCUGAAAUAGUAGAUAUCAAAAUUUAUGACUUAAAAAAGUUAAGGUGCUUAUCUUUAGAAAAUUCCUGGUAUGAGCCAAUUACCAACCUCUUUACUUUCGUGUGUGUUUGUGUGUGUGCUCAGCCUCUUAGUUGU
rnacentral:lncRNA from 1 species